ACGUAGGGUGCGAGCGUUAGUCGGAAUUACUGGGCGUAAAGCGUGCGCAGGCGGUUCGCUAAGACAGGCGUGAAAUCCCCGGGCUUAACCUGGGAAUGGCGCUUGUGACUGGCGGGCUGGAGUAAGGCAGAGGGGGGUGGAAUUCCAGGUGUAGCGGUGGAAUGCGUAGAGAUGGGGAGGAACACCGGUGGCGAAGGCAGCGCCCUGGGCCGGGACUGACGCUCAUGCACGAAAGCGUGGGGAGCGAACAG
rnacentral:rRNA from 1 species